rnacentral:rRNA from 1 species
CCUACGGGUGGCAGCAGUGAGGAAUAUUGGUCAAUGGGCGCGAGCCUGAACCAGCAAAGUCGCGUGAAGGAUGACUGCCCUACGGGUUGUAAACUUCUUUUAUAAAGGAAUAAAAUGAGGCACGAGAGCCUUUAUGUGUGUACUUUAUGAAUAAGGAUCGGCUAACUCCGUGCCAGCAGCCGCGGUAAUACGGAGGAUCCGAGCGUUAUACGGAUUUAUUGGGUUUAAAGGGAGCGUAGAUGGGUUGUUAAGUCAGGUGUGAAAGUUUGCGGCUCAACCGUAAAAUUGCAAUUGAGACUGGCAGCCUUGAGUACUGUUGAGGUAGGCGGAAUUCGUGGUGUAGCGGUGAAAUGCUUAGAUAUCACGAAGAACUCCGAUUGCGAAGGCAGCCUACUAAACUGCCACUGACAUUGAUGCUCGAAAGUGUGGGUAUCAAACAGGAUUAGAUACCCUGGUAGUC